UCCAUCACACUACACGUAGGGGCCAACUGCACGUAUUGUAGUGUAAUAGUGUAUCUCUACCUACUUCGUAUAUUGUGUGAUAUGGUGACAUCGUGUAUUUCAUUGCCCUGCUUUUGUUAGACUUUGUCAUUUCGUUUUGCCCACUAGACAUAGUUUGGAGGUAUUAAAGUUAAAAAGUACCAUCAGACCGGUGACUGGGUUAAUGUCACCACUACAGUAGACAACUUAGGUCUCAACAAUAUUAAGUGUCUUA